rnacentral:rRNA from 1 species
AUUGAACGCUGGCGGCAGGCUUAACACAUGCAAGUCGAGCGGGGUGAUGGUGCUUGCACUAUCACUUAGCGGCGGACGGGUGAGUAAUGCUUAGGAAUCUGCCUAUUAGUGGGGGACAACAUCUCGAAAGGGAUGCUAAUACCGCAUACGUCCUACGGGAGAAAGCAGGGGAUCACUUGUGACCUUGCGCUAAUAGAUGAGCCUAAGUCGGAUUAGCUAGUUGGUGGGGUAAAGGCCUACCAAGGCGACGAUCUGUAGCGGGUCUGAGAGGAUGAUCCGCCACACAGGGACUGAGACACGGCCCAGACUCCGACGGGAGGCAGCAGUGGGGAAUAUUGGACAAUGGGGGGAACCCUGAUCCAGCCAUGCCGCGUGUGUGAAGAAGGCCUUAUGGUUGUAAAGCACUUUAAGCGAGGAGGAGGCUCUUUUGGUUAAUACCCAAGAUGAGUGGACGUUACUCGCAGAAUAAGCACCGGCUAACUCUGUGCCAGCAGCCGCAGUAA